rnacentral:rRNA from 1 species
GANGAACGCUGGCGGUAUGCUUUAUACAUGCAAGUCGUACGAGAGUUUUUAACUCAAGUGGCGGACGGGUGAGUAACACGUAAGAAUUUACCUUUAGGAGGGGGACAACAGCUAGAAAUGGUUGCUAAUACCCCAUAUGCUUUAGAGUGAAAUGGUUUUCCGCCUAAAGAGAAGCUUGCGGCUGAUUAGCUUGUUGGUGGGGUAAAGGCUUACCAAGGCGACGAUCAGUAUCUGGUUUAAGAGGACGAUCAGACACACUGGAACUGAGACACGGUCCAGACUCCUACGGGAGGCAGCAGUAGGGAAUUUUCCGCAAUGGGCGAAAGCCUGACGGAGCAAUACCGCGUGAGGGAUGACUGCCUAUGGGUUGUAAACCUCUUUUUUCAGGGAGGAAUCAAUGACGUGUACCUGAAGAAUAAGCAUCGGCUAACUCCGUGCCAGCAGCCGCGGUAAG